rnacentral:rRNA from 1 species
GACCUAAGCCGAGGCCGAAAGGCGUAGGCGAUGGACAACAGGUUGAUAUUCCUGUACCACCUCCUCACCAUUUGAGCAAUGGGGGGACGCAGGAGGAUAGGGUAAGCGCGGUAUUGGAUAUCCGCGUCCAAGCAGUUAGGCUGGGAAAUAGGCAAAUCCGUUUCCCAUAAGGCUGAGCUGUGAUGGCGAGCGAAAUAUAGUAGCGAAGUUCCUGAUUCCACACUGCCAAGAAAAGCCUCUAGCGAGGUGAGAGGUGCCCGUACCGCAAACCGACACAGGUAGGCGAGGAGAGAAUCCUAAGGUGAUCGAGAGAACUCUCGUUAAGGAACUCGGCAAAAUGACCCCGUAACUUCGGGAGAAGGGGUGCUCUGUUAGGGUGCAAGCCCGAGAGAGCCGCAGUGAAUAGGCCCAGGCGACUGUUUAGCAAAAACAC